GUGGGAAUAGCUCAGUGGUAGAGUACAUGCUUAGCAUGCACAAGGUCCUGGGUUCAAUCCCCAGUACCUCCA
rnacentral:tRNA from 1 species